UACGUAGGGUGCGAGCGUUGUCCGGAAUUAUUGGGCGUAAAGAGCUCGUAGGCGGUGUGUCGCGUCGGCCGUGAAAACCUGGGGCUUAACUCUGGGCGUGCGGUCGAUACGGGCAUCACUGGAGUUCGGCAGGGGAGACUGGAAUUCCUGGUGUAGCGGUGAAAUGCGCAGAUAUCAGGAGGAACACCCGUGGCGAAGGCGGCUCUCUGGGACGGUACUGGACGCUGAGACGGCGAAAGCGUGGGGAGCGAACAGG
rnacentral:rRNA from 1 species